AUUGAACGCUGGCGGCAUGCUUUACACAUGCAAGUCGAACGGUAACAGGGAGCUUGCUCCGCUGACGAGUGGCGAACGGGCGAGUAAUGCGUCGGAACGUGCCGAGUAGUGGGGGAUAACGCAGCGAAAGUUGUGCUAAUACCGCAUACGUACUGAGGUAGAAAGUGGGGGACCUUCGGGCCUCACGCUAUUCGAGCGGCCGACGUCUGAUUAGCUAGUAGGUGAGGUAAAGGCUCACCUAGGCGACGAUCAGUAGCGGGUCUGAGAGGAUGAUCCGCCACACUGGGACUGAGACACGGCCCAGACUCCUACGGGAGGCAGCAGUGGGGAAUUUUGGACAAUGGGCGAAAGCCUGAUCCAGCCAUGCCGCGUGUCUGAAGAAGGCCUUCGGGUUGUAAAGGACUUUUGUCGGGGAGGAAAUCCCCAGCGCCAAUACCGCUGGGGGAUGACAGUACCUGAAGAAUAAGCACCGGCUAACUACGUGCCAGCAGCCGCAGUAA
rnacentral:rRNA from 1 species